rnacentral:rRNA from 1 species
CCUACGGGUGGCAGCAGUGGGGGAUAUUGCACAAUGGGGGGAACCCUGAUGCAGCGACGCCGCGUGGGUGAAGAAGCGCCUCGGCGCGUAAAGCCCUGUCAGCAGGGAAGAAAAUGACGGUACGUGAAGAAGAAGCCCCGGCUAACUACGUGCCAGCAGCCGCGGUAAUACGGAGGGGGCACGCGUUAUCCGGAUUUACUGGGGGUAAAGGGGGGGCAGACGGGGAUGCAAGCCAGGAGUGAAAGCCCGGGGGCCAACCCCGGGACUGCGCUUGGAACUGCGUGGCUGGAGUGCAGGAGGGGCAGGCGGAAUUCCUGGUGUAGCGGUGAAAUGCGUAGAUAUCAGGCGGAACACCGGUUGCGAAGGCGGCCUGCUGGCCUGCAACUGACGUUGAGGCACGAAAGCGUGGGGAGCAAACAGGAUUAGAUACCCGUGUAGUC